AGCAACGCUGGCGGCGUGCUUAACACAUGCAAGUCGAACGGUGAAGCUCCAGCUUGCUGGAGUGGAUCAGUGGCGAACGGGUGAGUAACACGUGAGCAACCUGCCCCUGACUCUGGGAUAACAGCCGGAAACGGCUGCUAAUACCGGAUAUGCACCAUGAACGCAUGUUCUGUGGUGGGAAAGAUUUUUCGGUUGGGGAUGGGCUCGCGGCCUAUCAGCUUGUUGGUGAGGUAAUGGCUCACCAAGGCGUCGACGGGUAGCCGGCCUGAGAGGGUGACCGGCCACACUGGGACUGAGACACGGCCCAGACUCCUACGGGAGGCAGCAGUGGGGAAUAUUGCACAAUGGGCGAAAGCCUGAUGCAGCAACGCCGCGUGAGGGAUGACGGCCUUCGGGUUGUAAACCUCUUUUAGCAGGGAAGAAGCGAGAGUGACGGUACCUGCAGAAAAAGCGCCGGCUAACUACGUGCCAGCAGCCGCGGUAAUACGUAGGGCGCAAGCGUUAUCCGGAAUUAUUGGGCGUAAAGAGCUCGUAGGCGGUUUGUCGCGUCUGCUGUGAAAACUGGAGGCUCAACCUCCAGCCUGCAGUGGGUACGGGCAGACUAGAGUGCGGUAGGGGAGAUUGGAAUUCCUGGUGUAGCGGUGGAAUGCGCA
rnacentral:rRNA from 1 species